rnacentral:rRNA from 1 species
GAUGAACGCUGGCGGCGUGCCUAAUACAUGCAAGUCGAGCGAACAGACGAGGAGCUUGCUCCUCUGAUGUUAGCGGCGGACGGGUGAGUAACACGUGGAUAACCUACCUAUAAGACUGGGAUAACUUCGGGAAACCGGAGCUAAUACCGGAUAACAUGUUGAACCGCAUGGUUCAACAGUGAAAGACGGUCUUGCUGUCACUUAUAGAUGGAUCCGCGCCGCAUUAGCUAGUUGGUAAGGUAACGGUUUACCAAGGCAACGAUGCGUAGCCGACCUGAGAGGGUGAUCGGCCACACUGAAACUGGAACACGGUCCAGACUCCUACGGGAGGCAGCAGUAGGGAAUCUUCCGCAAUAGGCGAAAGCCUGACGGAGCAACGCCGCGUGAGUGAAGAAGGUCUUCGGAUCGUAAAACUCUGUUAUUAGGGAAGAACAAAUGUGUAAGUAACUAUGCACGUCUUGACGGUACCUAAUCAGAAAGCCACGGCUAACUACGUG